rnacentral:rRNA from 1 species
CUACGGGGCGCAGCAGUGGGGAAUAUUGCACAAUGGACGAAAGUCUGAUGCAGCAACGCCGCGUGGAGGAUGACACAUUUCGGUGCGUAAACUCCUUUUAUAUAGGAAGAUAAUGACGGUACUAUAUGAAUAAGCACCGGCUAACUCCGUGCCAGCAGCCGCGGUAAUACGGAGGGUGCAAGCGUUACGCGGAAUCACUGGGCGUAAAGAGCGUGUAGGCGGGUAGUUAAGUCAGAAGUGAAAUCCAAUAGCUCAACUAUUGAACUGCUUUUGAAACUGAUUACCUAGAAUAUGGGAGAGGUAGAUGGAAUUUCUGGUGUAGGGGUAAAAUCCGUAGAGAUCAGAAGGAAUACCGAUUGCGAAGGCGAUCUACUGGAACAUUAUUGACGCUGAGACGCGAAAGCGUGGGGAGCAAACAGGAUUAGAUACCCCAGUAGUC